rnacentral:rRNA from 1 species
UACGUAGGGGGCAAGCGUUGUCCGGAAUUAUUGGGCGUAAAGAGCGCGUAGGCGGUCCGAUAAGUCGGCUGUGAAAGUCAUGGGCUCAACCCAUGAAAGCCGGCCGAUACUGUCGGACUAGAGUUCGGAAGAGGCGAGUGGAAUUCCCGGUGUAGCGGUGAAAUGCGCAGAUAUCGGGAGGAACACCAGUGGCGAAGGCGGUUGCCUGGGGCUUUGCUGACGCUGAUGCGCGAAAGCGUGGGGAGCGAUCCGG